GAUGAAGUCUGUGUUUACUUUUUGACUCUCAACAUACUCGUUUCGUUUUGAUGCGAAGGUCACUGGAAGUUCCCUCUGAGAGAAAGAGAGAGACUGCAUUUAUGUAUGUAAAAUAGAGAGAUAAGAGAAAGAGAGGGAACAUGGACUUGAGAUCUUCUUCAUUCCUCAGAUACUCUUCUAGAGUCCGGUUCCUCGGCCGCACUUCUCUGCGGCUCUCCAAAACAUCGUUUUGGAUUUUUUUUUCUUCCCUUUCUUAUUUUGCUUUUCCCUUUUCAUUUUUGAACCCUAGCCUCUGAAACAGAUUAAGAGAGAGGCGACAAAGGCGAGGCAAGGAGAGGCAGUGAGAGACUAACAGGGAGAGGCGGCGAGAGAGGAACAGAAAGGGCGACGAACGCAAGGCGGCGACGAGGUUCUCAGGCACUCUCUUCCUUCCAAGAUCUUCCAGCCACCUUCCGAGUUGUCUCUCUCCAAAGCAUCCAAGUGGAUUUUUCACUUCGAUCUCAAAAAUGCCUCUUCUGUCUCCCUUGAAGCUUUGAACCCUCUUUGGGCUUACGUUCUCUUCCUUAGGUCACUUUUGGCCCCGAAAGUGCCACUUUGAUGGUUGGACUGGCAGCCUCCAAACUAGAGCUGCACAAUUAGUUGAGCAGGUAAGCAAGUAAUUGAGCAGCCUUGGAGGAGCACAAAUGUUUUCGAGGCUUCAAGGAAUAGCACUGACCGGAGAAAGAAACCAAGGCACAACACCGAUAGGCCAAAAAAAAUGAAGACACUGCAUCCAAAGGAGAUGAAGUUGACACUUGAGAUCACUUUUGGGGGUGCUUGUAUUUGUAUGGGGUCUUAUGUAGUUUUUAUUUGUACGAAACAACCUUCUAUCUUUCUUUCUUUGUAUUUGUACGGGGUCUCAUGUACUUGUAUUUGUAUAGUAUUAAUUUUUAUA